UAGGGGAAUCUUUCGGCAAUGGACGAAAGUCUGACCGAGCAACGCCGCGUGAGUGAAGAAGGUUUUCGGAUCGUAAAACUCUGUUGGUAGAGAAGAACGUUGGUGAGAGUGGAAAGCUCAUCAAGUGACGGUAACUACCCAGAAAGGGACGGCUAACUACGUGCCAA
rnacentral:rRNA from 1 species